GUCGAGCGAAUUGAUGGGAGCUUGCUCCCUGAUAUUAGCGGCGGACGGGUGAGUAACACGUGGGUAACCUGCCUGUAAGAUUGGGAUAACUCCGGGAAACCGGAGCUAAUACCGGAUAACAUUUUGAACCGCAUGGUUCGAAAUUGAAAGAUGGUUUCGGCUAUCACUUACAGAUGGACCCGCGGCGCAUUAGCUAGUUGGUGAGGUAACGGCUCACCAAGGCAACGAUGCGUAGCCGACCUGAGAGGGUGAUCGGCCACACUGGGACUGAGACACGGCCCAGACUCCUACGGGAGGCAGCAGUAGGGAAUCUUCCGCAAUGGACGAAAGUCUGACGGAGCAACGCCGCGUGAACGAUGAAGGCCUUCGGGUCGUAAAGUUCUGUUGUUAGGGAAGAACAAGUACCAGAGUAACUGCUGGUACCUUGACGGUACCUAACCAGAAAGCCACGGCUAACUACGUGCCAGCAGCCGCGGUAAUACGUAGGUGGCAAGCGUUGUCCGGAAUUAUUGGGCGUAAAGCGCGCGCAGGUGGUUUCUUAAGUCUGAUGUGAAAGCCCACGGCUCAACCGUGGAGGGUCAUUGGAAACUGGGGAACUUGAGUGCAGAAGAGGAAAGUGGAAUUCCAAGUGUAGCGGUGAAAUGCGUAGAGAUUUGGAGGAACACCAGUGGCGAAGGCGACUUUCUGGUCUGUAACUGACACUGAGGCGCGAAAGCGUGGGGAGCGAACAGGAUUAGAUACCCUGGUAGUCCACGCCGUAAACGAUGAGUGCUAAGUGUUAGA
rnacentral:rRNA from 1 species